UUCUUAUUUACCUAAUUUACAACUUAGUCUAAAUUGAACUUCGACCGACGUUAAAAAUGAGAAACCCAAAUGAACCGUCGAGACAGGUAUUAUGUUAACACUAUUGGAAACUUUGAAGUUAAAUCAGUAACGAGCAACAUCCGAAUGAGUCAAAUUUUAGCCGACCAACACUACGACAUCAUAUUUAGUAACUAGUGCGGAAAAUGGUACGUUUCGAAGCAAUCGUGUGCGAAAGACAAUUUUCACAUGAGGUACAGUAUUCGGAAAUUUCUCUUUGAAGAAUUCUUCGGAGGUGCCGCAGGGAUUUUAUCUUGGUCUACUUUUAUUUUACCAGUUUUUUUAAUAAUAUAAGUAUUGUUUAAUGAACGGGCG